GAAGGAAAGAUUGGUGGGCUAUAUGCCGAGUUAAGUCUUGAAUCAUUCAUUACGCACUUGAAGAAAAAGAAGAGCCCCAAUUACCAGAAUGCAUUCAGAGCAUGAAACAUUAGGGUUUCAUCAAUCUUCAAUAGAUGCUGAGUUGGAUGCUCCAAGAAUUCUUGUACAUGAUGACCAACAUGAGGAGGUAGACCCAACUGAUUUUAUUUUAAAGGAUAAUUUUAUACAAAAGGGAGAAGAAGAGGAAGA
rnacentral:lncRNA from 1 species